rnacentral:rRNA from 1 species
CCUACGGGGGGCAGCAGUGAGGAAUAUUGGUCAAUGGCCGAGAGGCUGAACCAGCCAAGUCGCGUGAGGGAAGACGGCCCUACGGGUUGUAAACCUCUUUUGUCGGGGAGCAAAGCGAACCACGUGUGGUUCAUUGAGAGUACCCAAAGAAAAAGCAUCGGCUAACUCCGCGCCAGCAGCCGCGGUAAUACGGAGGAUGCGAGCGUUAUCCGGAUUUAUUGGGUUUAAAGGGUGCGCAGGCGGAGGUGCAAGUCAGCGGUCAAAUUGCGGGGCUCGACCCCGUCCUGCCGUUGAAACUGCAUCCC